CAGUCGAACGGACUCGGAUUGAAACCUAGUGAUUUCCGAGUUAGUGGCGGACGGGUGAGUAACGCGUGGAUAACCUGCCGUAUGCAGGGGGAUAACAGUUGGAAACAGCUGCUAAUACCGCAUAAGCGCACAAUACCGCAUGGUACUGUGUGAAAAGAUUUAUCGGCAUACGAUGGAUCCGCGUCCGAUUAGCCAGUUGGCGGGGUAACGGCCCACCAAAGCGACGAUCGGUUGCCGGCCUGAGAGGGCGGACGGCCACAUUGGGACUGAGACACGGCCCAAACUCCUACGGGAGGCAGCAGUGGGGAAUAUUGCACAAUGGGGGAAACCCUGAUGCAGCGACGCCGCGUGAGUGAAGAAGUAUCUCGGUAUGUAAAGCUCUAUCAGCAGGGAAGAAAAUGACGGUACCUGACUAAGAAGCCCCGGCUAACUACGUGCCAGCAGCCGCGGUAAUACGUAGGGGGCAAGCGUUAUCCGGAUUUACUGGGUGUAAAGGGAGCGUAGACGGCGCUGCAAGUCCGGAGUGAAAGCCCAUGGCUUAACCAUGGUACUGCUCUGGAAACUGUGGAGCUUGAGUGCGGGAGGGGCAGGCGGAAUUCCUAGUGUAGCGGUGAAAUGCGUAGAUAUUAGGAGGAACACCGGCGGCGAAGGCGGCCUGCUGGACCGUAACUGACGUUGAGGCUCGAAAGCGUGGGGAGCAAACAGGAUUAGAUACCCUGGUAGUCCACGCCGUAAACGAUGAUUACCAGGUGUCGCGGUACGAAGUACUGCGGUGCCGGCGCAAACGCAAUAAGUAAUCCACCUGGGGGGUACGUUC
rnacentral:rRNA from 1 species